UACGUAGGGGGCAAGCGUUGUCCGGAAUCAUUGGGCGUAAAGAGCGCGUAGGUGGCUAUGUAAGUCCGUUGUGAAAGUCAAAGGCUCAACCUUUGAAAGCCGAUGGAUACUGCAUAGCUAGAGUACGGAAGAGGCGAGUGGAAUUCCUGGUGUAGCGGUGGAAUGCGCAGAUAUCAGGAGGAACACCAAUGGCGAAGGCAGCUCACUGGGACGAUACUGACGCUGAGACGCGAAAGCGUGGGGAGCAAACAGG
rnacentral:rRNA from 1 species